UACAGAGGGUGCGAGCGUUAAUCGGAAUUACUGGGCGUAAAGCGUGCGCAGGCGGUCGAUCAAGUCGAGUGUGAAAGCCCCCGGCUCAACUGGGGAGGGUCAUUCGAUACUGAUCGACUCGAAGGCAGGAGAGGGUAGUGGAAUUCCCGGUGUAGUGGUGAAAUGCGUAGAUAUCGGGAGGAACACCAGUGGCGAAGGCGACUACCUGGCCUGUUCUUGACGCUGAGGCACGAAAGCGUGGGGAGCAAACAGG
rnacentral:rRNA from 1 species